rnacentral:rRNA from 1 species
AUGAAUAUUGCCCUUCUAUCCCGGUGGCUGUGGCGCAUCGCGCAGGGUCAUGGUGGCCUCUGGCUGGACAUUAUCCGGAAUAAGUACCUGCGAGGUCAACCCCUUGCCUUCUGCCAGAAAUUGGGCGGGUCCCAGUUCUGGCAGUCCCUCGUCCAGCUUCUCCCGGUGCUCCACAUUGGUACCUAUAUCUCGGUGGGGUCCGGCCUCUCGACGCUAUUCUGGUUUGAUCGCUGGGCCGCGACUCUCCCUUUGCGGCCCGCUUCCCCGCCCUCUUCUCUAUCUCCGUCGACCCUAUGA